GACGAACGCUGGCGGCGUGCUUAACACAUGCAAGUCGAACGGAAAGGCCCUGCUUUGGUGGGGUGCUCGAGUGGCGAACGGGUGAGUAACACGUGAGUAACCUGCCCUUGACUUUGGGAUAACUUCAGGAAACUGGGGCUAAUACCGGAUAGGAGCUCCUGCUGCAUGGUGGGGGUUGGAAAGUUUCGGCGGUUGGGGAUGGACUCGCGGCUUAUCAGCUUGUUGGUGGGGUAGUGGCUUACCAAGGCUUUGACGGGUAGCCGGCCUGGGAGGGUGACCGGACACAUUGGGACUGAGACACGGCCCAGACUCCUACGGGAGGCAGCAGUGGGGAAUAUUGCACAAUGGGCGGAAGCCUGAUGCAGCAACGCCGCGUGCGGGAUGACGGCCUUCGGGUUGUAACCCGCUUUCGCCUGUGACGAAGCGUGAGUGACGGUAAUGGGUAAAGAAGCACCGGCUAACUACGUG
rnacentral:rRNA from 1 species